UACGGAGGGUGCAAGCGUUAUCCGGAAUCACUGGGCGUAAAGGGUGCGUAGGCGGGUCUUUAAGUCAGGGGUGAAAUCCUGGAGCUCAACUCCAGAACUGCCUUUGAUACUGAAGAUCUUGAGUUCGGGAGAGGUGAGUGGAACUGCGAGUGUAGAGGUGAAAUGCGUAGAUAUCGUAAGGAAGACCAGUGGCGAAGGCGGGUCUCUGGACAGUUCCUGACGCUGAGGCACGAAGGUCAGGGGAGCAAACGGG
rnacentral:rRNA from 1 species